GACGAACGCUGGCGGCGUGCUUAACACAUGCAAGUCGAACGGUGAAGGUGGAGCUUGCCCCGCCGGAUCAGUGGCGAACGGGUGAGUAACACGUGGGCAACCUGCCCCUGACUUCGGGAUAACUCCUCGAAAGAGGUGCUAAUACCGGAUACGAAUCCUGCAGGCAUCUGCGGGAUUGGAAAGUUUUUCGGUCAGGGAUGGGCCCGCGGCCUAUCAGCUUGUUGGUGAGGUAGUGGCUCACCAAGGCGACGACGGGUAGCCGGCCUGAGAGGGCGGCCGGCCACAAUGGGACUGAGACACGGCCCAGACUCCUACGGGAGGCAGCAGUGGGGAAUAUUGCGCAAUGGGCGAAAGCCUGACGCAGCAACGCCGCGUGAGGGAUGACGGCCUUCGGGUUGUAAACCUCUUUCAGCAGGGAAGAAGCGAAAGUGACGGUACCUGCAGAAGAAGCACCGGCUAACUACGUGCCAGCAGCCGCGGUAA
rnacentral:rRNA from 1 species